rnacentral:rRNA from 1 species
AUUGAACGCUGGCGGCAUGCCUUACACAUGCAAGUCGAACGGCAGCACGGGAGCAAUCCUGGUGGCGAGUGGCGAACGGGUGAGUAAUAUAUCGGAACGUGCCCAGUCGUGGGGAUAACGUAGCGAAAGCUACGCUAAUACCGCAUACGAUCUAUGGAUGAAAGCGGGGGAUCGCAAGACCUCGCGCGAUUGGAGCGGCCGAUAUCAGAUUAGGUAGUUGGUGAGGUAAAGGCUCACCAAGCCGACGAUCUGUAGCUGGUCUGAGAGGACGACCAGCCACACUGGGACUGAGACACGGCCCAGACUCCUACCGGGAGGCAGCAGUGGGAAUUUUGGACAAUGGGCGCAAGCCUGAUCCAGCAAUGCCGCGUGCAGGAUGAAGGCC